rnacentral:rRNA from 1 species
ACCCGCCGCCGCCGCCGCCUCAACACCCUUCGCCAAAAUGCAGAUCUUCGUCAAGACCCUCACGGGGAAGACCAUCACCCUCGAGGUUGAGAGCAGCGAUACCAUCGACAAUGUCAAGGCCAAGAUCCAGGACAAGGAGGGGAUCCCGCCGGACCAGCAGCGGCUGAUCUUCGCCGGCAAGCAGUUGGAGGACGGCCGCACCCUUGCCGACUACAACAUCCAGAAGGAGUCGACCCUCCAUCUCGUCCUCAGGCUCCGCGGAGGCAUCAUCGAGCCAUCCCUGCAGGCUCUUGCCCGCAAGUACAACCAGGAGAAGAUGAUCUGCCGCAAAUGCUACGCGCGCCUGCACCCAAGGGCUGUCAACUGCCGCAAGAAGAAGUGUGGCCACAGCAACCAGCUGAGGCCCAAGAAGAAGAUCAAGAACUAGAGUGCUACUAGUCAGUUUCAUGGACCGGUUGAAUCCAUUGCUGUGUUAGCGUUUAUGCUAUUGUCGUCUCGUUGUCGUUGAACCUUAUUUUACUUUGCUUUCAGCCUCCAAUCGUUGUGGUGAUGAUAAUUGACAGUAUUGGUAUAUGGUAGCAAACCUAUAAUUUUGCCGUAUCUCCUCUGUUUGUUCUGCG